AGUCAUCCUCUCGGCGAAAAUGGAAGCUGGUAGCGUUCAUGCCCGGCGAAGAAACUUCCUUCUCCAUGACAUCAGUUAAUGCACAGGUGAAUUCCUUCUAGGUUCUCGCUCUGCAUUUUUUAAGCCGCCGUUUUUAUAUUUUGGGUAGAAGGGAUGAAACUUGAAGACGAUGGCCUCUUACAGUAAGUAAAUUGCCGUUGAGAUUCUCGUAGGUAUAUUGAGUCAGUUGACAGUUCGACAAAAAAAACAAAAAAAAAAAAAAAUGAAGUAGAUGUCAGAAGUGGGAUUUGAACCCACGCUCUCUCACGAGAACCAGAACUUGAGUCUGGCGCCUUAGACCACUCGGCCAUCCUGACCUUGUGGUCCAACGGCUUCGUUUAAUUAACAUAUUAUUAAGAAAACAAAAAUAAUUAUUGGAAAAAUUAUGUAUUUUCAUAAAGGCACUAAUUAAAAUUUGAUUUGUUAAAAGUUAUUUUUAAAGAAAUUAAUAAUUAUUUUAUUUUAUUUUGUUCUAUAUUUGGACUUAGUCGCGUGUAAAUUAUUUAUCUAUGAUAAAAAAUAUUUUGUUAUAUAACAAGUUAUCGUAAUAUUAAAAAUAUUUUUUUUAUUUAUAUUUUCAUCUUCUUUUUUUUGUAAUAAAUUAUAAUAUUUUUUUAAAGAAAAAUUAAUAAUUUCUUUAUUUUAUACGAUCAAUUAUCGAGUACUUUCAUUAAUUUUAUGAAAAUAAUAAGUUUAUUUGAGCUAAUGGUAAAAAGAGGAAUACAUUUUAAUAUCAAUCAACUACAAAUUUUUAGAGCACUUGAAAAAAAAUUUCAUUUCAUAUAUUAUCAUCAACAGCAAUCUUGUCAUUGCUGAUUUUCUUGGCCUCCCCACUUCUUCAUGCGCUCUGUUGUUUGCUCCACCUGCAAGUCAAUCAUCUCCAAAUAUGUUCAUCGCUUUCUCUCUUGCCAAACAAGAAUGUCACAAUUAACUACGUUAAACCGGUAAAAGAGUAAUCGCUCUAUACGCAAAUAAAAACAAGACCAUCUUUUUGUUUCUAUCCGGAGAAAAAAUGGGUAUAAACUGUCUUUUUGAUUCGUUUAUCUGAUUCCGCUAAAAAUAAGUUCGACUGUUAGAAUUCUAUUGAAGCUUCAGCCGAAAUCAAGGUUGGAUUUCUGAAAGGUAAAGUGAAUUCUAACACUAACCUCCUUAUUCCAAUUGGUUUUGUAGACAACAAACAGGAGAAGCAGGGUUUGCAGUGCUGUCCCAGCUAUCAUUCCUCCCCAAAGUCCCUGCAAUAACAAAAACGAUUUUUCGGAAAAGACCCGAUUCUAAGUUUGCAUUCAAACCAAGAAGAACCAAAGAAGAAGA
rnacentral:lncRNA from 1 species